AAAGCUCUAUCUUCCCUUCUCCUUCUUGUGGGAUGGGAACUUUGGAAGGAAAGGAAUGCGCGCGUCUUCAGGAACAAGGCAGCGCCGCUGGCGAUCAUCAUGCGAUGCAUCAAAGAAGAAGUGUCCAUUUGGACCAUUGCAGGCGCCAAACAUUUGCGUAAUGUAAUGCCGCGAGAGUAA
rnacentral:rRNA from 1 species